GGUACCAGGGAGAGGAGGGCUGAGGACCCUAGCCAGGAUGCUCCAGGUGCCCCGCAUCGCCCCGGGAGGUUGGUGGGAGGAGGGAAACUGAGGCACAAUGGGGGACAAAGGAGUGGGAGACCCCGAGCUCCCCUACGUUUUCAAAGCCUCGAGGGCCAAAGCGACGAGGCCGGGCAUGCUGCGGGCCAGCGAGUCGCUCUCCAGCCCCACGAGGCCGGCGAAAACCGUGGGGCGGCCGCCCACCGUGGCCCUCACCUGCGCCCGGUACAGCCCCUUGGUGUUUUUGGAGCCCAGGUCCACCAGGAUCUGCCAGGGGAGGAAAACCACCGUCAGCCCCAGGGCGAGGGGACACGCCGCUGGCGAGCUGGGGACGGCGAGGCGCCGGGGGGGGUGGCUGCCCCACGCACCUCCUGGAAGGUCAUGGCCAGGUCCGGCUCCGGCACCCGCAGCACCCAGGCGUAAAGCUCCUGCACCGCGCCCACCCGCAGCGCCGAGGCGUUGAGGCCAGGGCAGGCUGCAAGCCCCCGGGGGGGGGACAGGAGAGAGAUGGAAAUAGGGUCAGGGGGUGGGUGGGGGCACCGCGCUGUCACCAGCCCCAGGGUGCAAAGCCCAGGCUGGGUUUGCCAUCUCCGGCAUCCCGGUGGCAUCCCGCAGCACCUGGGGGCUGGGGGGUGCUUACCUCUUCCCUCACCUGCCUCCUCCUCCUCUUCCUCCUCUUCCUCUUCUUCCUCCUCCUCCUCCAGCCCAGGCUGUGUGGGCACCAGCUCACGUUUCUCCCUCGGCACCAACCCUGCGUGGAAAUCCCAUUGGGGACGCCGUCGGUGGCCACUGCUUGGGCACAAAGCUGGGUGGAAAUGACGACCCCGAUGCCCCCCCAGGGCUCACGGUUUGGUGUCGGGGUCCCCGAUGGCUCUCCGGGUGCCUGCUGCUGCUGCGUGGCUUCCAGGGGGGUGUCGAGGUCCAGCUCUGCCCGGAGCUGGGCGAGGAAAGCUCUGCCCUGUCCCACCAGCUCCUCCACCUCCUCCUCACCCUGCUGCGGGGAAGGGAAAGGGAACAGGGCAGGCAGUGGGGUUUGGUCCUUGCUGGCACUGUCACCGGAGCGGCAGGGGUUCCCCCCAUCCCAUCCCAUCCCAUCCCAUCCCAUCCCAUCCCAUCCCAUCCCAUCCCAUCCCAUCCCAUCCCAUCCCAUCCCAUCCCAUCCCAUCCCAUCCCAUCCCAUCCCUCUCCAAAUACCUGCAAGAAGAGCCACGUCUCCCCGGGGAGCCGCUGCCCAUCUGGGGUGGGUUCCAGGGGGCUGCCCCCAUCCAUAGCCCUCAGCGCCUGCACCCAGUCCUGCAGCUGGGGCCCCACGGCCCCAAAGAGCCCCGCAAAUGGGGGCGGCUGCCCGGCCCCCUGCCUGCAAGCACAGCGGGGACAGCUCAGCCAGGCACCCAUCCCUUGGGCACUGCCACCCCCCGUACACCCCUGUUGGGACCUGGUUAUGGGAAGAGCAGGACCCCAAUGCCUUGAGCUGUCCCCAAAAAGCCCUAUCAGUGCCCAUGGGUAUCUCGCUCGCCUCCCCAAAACCUACAGCCCCCAUAACCCACCAUGCCCUUGCGUCCCCCUUUACCUGGUGGGGGGUCUCCAGGGUCCCUCUGCUUUGGGGUUAGGCUGCCCCCCUCCCACAGCCACGUCUGUGGGGACAAGAAGGGGACAGGAGGGACACGGCGUAGGGGUGCCUGAGCCACCAGCACGAGGGUGGCGCGUCCCCACAGGGCCACGGGGUGGCACAGCCGGGGCGGGUGGGUACCUGGGGCGUCCCUACGGACACGGGCAGGGAAGAGGUGCCUGUAGAUCUUGCCCAGGAGCUGGGGCAGAGCCCGGGUGAGGAAGGAGAAAUCCACCUGGUUCCGGAUGAAGUCCCCGGCCCGACGCAGGAGCCCC
rnacentral:lncRNA from 1 species